rnacentral:rRNA from 1 species
GAUGAACGCUGGCGGCGUGCUUAACACAUGCAAGUCGAGCGAAGCACUCCAUCGGAAUUCUUCGGGAGGAAGAUGGUUUGACUGAGCGGCGGACGGGUGAGUAACGCGUGGGUAACCUGCCCCAUACCGGGGGAUAACAGCUGGAAACGGCUGCUAAUACCGCAUAAGCGCACGAAGCUGCAUGGCUUUGUGUGAAAAACUCCGGUGGUAUGGGAUGGGCCCGCGUCUGAUUAGGCAGUUGGCGGGGUAACGGCCCACCAAACCGACGAUCAGUAGCCGACCUGAGAGGGCGACCGGCCACAUUGGGACUGAGACACGGCCCAAACUCCUACGGGAGGCAGCAGUGGGGAAUAUUGCACAAUGGGGGAAACCCUGAUGCAGCGACGCCGCGUGAGCGAAGAAGUAUUUCGGUAUGUAAAGCUCUAUCAGCAGGGAAGAUAAUGACGGUACCUGACUAAGAAGCCCCGGCUAACUACGUGCCAGCCGCCGCAGUAACAC